AGCCACAGAAAUACCUGAUUUCAAAGAGAUGCUUGCAUUCUAUACGGAUGUCAUCUAGGAGUAUAAGUGCCCAUUGUCACACUGCAGAGUGGAGAAAGGUUCCUAUGCUCUCUGUUCCCCUCUUUGCAAAAUGAAAGCAAACCAAGGCUAUGUGCUCACAGGAGAACAAGGCAAUGGGAUGCUGGGAUGCAACUUCUAGAUCAGAAACCCAUUCAUUUGGAGGAUCCCUUUGUGGUAUAUGAAAAACAGCUGGAUGCCUCUCUUUGUGGCCUUUCUGUCCUUCAAAGACCAUCAUGAAGCCAGACCUCUUUCUUCUUUCCAGGAUAAAUAAUUGUGCCAUUUUAAUACUUCCUGAAGUUCUGAAUGCCUACCUCUGAAAUCCCUAGCAGGACUCUAUGCAGCAUUGUCUGUUAGAACUAUCAGCCACAUGGAAAUGUUCUAUAUUUGUCCUGUCCAAUACAAUAACCAUAUGUGCAAAAUAAGCACUUGAAUGUGAGGAACUAGGGACUGAGUUUUUAAAUUAAUUGAAAUAUAAAUAUCCACCUGUGGUUAGUGGUUACUGAAGUAGCACAAGUCUUAGAAGCUGUAGCUAUUCUAUAUAUCCCUAGGCGGAAACACAUUUUAUAUACUAGUCGAUGACCCAUAUUAAGUAUGAAACAGAAUAUAACUUUUAAAGUGGGGGAAAAAUCCAACAAUACUUAAAGCAAAUUUUGAAUCUAAGUUCUUAUAAUUUGACAUUAAUUAUAAAAUUGU